rnacentral:lncRNA from 1 species
AAAGCAGGCAUAAACCAGCAGUGGAUCACAUAAGCUCAUAUAUUGACUAUACAAAUUUCUUUAUAUUUACAAAAUAGCCAAAAUACAUUAAAUUCUCUACUCGUUUCCCCACCCACUGGUCCAGCCUAUUCUCCGACGACAUCUUCUGGGUAUACUUAAGUUACAUCAUCUGCAUCUAAAAAAACAGAGGAAACAAGGGUGAGUAUGACAAGUCAUACUCAGCAAGCAGAUACUUUAUUAUUCAACAAAAAAAGUAAGAAUAUGAAUACAGUCACAAUAGGUUAACUGCAUUUAAUGCAGGCUAAAUAACGUGACAAUUGAUGGAGCCAGUUUCAUUGAAGGAACAACAUAGCUGGAUGUAAUGGAAACAAGAAGGAAUCUAUUGCCGUCACACAUGAUCGCAAGCUUCUCAAUCCGGGAGUCACAGGGAUGAAAUUUCACACUUUUACACUCUUAGGAGGGGUACUCCGACGUCGACAGCCUCGACCAGAACCACACAGGUUUCAGAAGAGCAGAGCUCUUGUACCCAAGACCCGGACACCUGGACCUACGGAUGUCGAUCGCUCCUACGGAUCCAUCAUCGACACGUUCCCGAACAAGGUCCAUCCUUAGUGGAGAACUCAGACAGUCUCAUACCUGAACUGUGACCGGUACAAUACGUUUGCCAUUGUGACACCAAUAUAUAUGGAUGUGUGUCUGAAUCAACGAUAGGACCACUGAAAUAUCAUUCAAAGACAAUACACUCAUAACUUUUCAUGAGUUCCUCCAAAAUACUCUGAUUCCAUCAACAAAUGGAUUAUGAGGAAGACACAUCCCUCUCUCAAGGAUCAGCAGAGGAUCAGCAAAGAUCAAGGUGCAAUGAUAUUACCAGAUAAUCAAGCAAGACGACAAUAAGGAGAGAUUAGAGAGUUUAGCAAAGCAGCUACUUGCCUUAGAUAACAAGAUUUCUCCUUGGAGAUAAUAUUCUCCUAGCAAAUAAACCCAUCAAUGUAUAAUCCAAAAGCCGUACAUAUACUGUACUAAUAUUCUCCGGACACACGGCUCAGUUCUUCACUCCAGCAGCACCUAUACGCCCCAUAUAACUCCUCCAUGUCUUGUCUCUCUCUCACUCACACGCUCUCUUCUUCUCACUCUUUCUGUUUCUCCUAUGCUCACUGCACAUGUCUCUGUUUGUUUCUCCCGGAGGUGUGCUGUGAGGCAACAGCAGGAGCGUCCUAUUUAUAGCGUUGUUC